CAAAUACUCCCUCCGUCCAGAAAUACUUGUCAUCAAAAUGGAUAAAAGGAAAUGUAUCUAGACGUAUUUUAGUUUUAGAUACAUCUAUUUUUAUCUAUUUUGAUGACAAGUAUUUUCGGACGGAGGGAAUAGAAA
rfam:Triticum aestivum genome assembly, contig: Triticum_aestivum_CS42_TGACv1_scaffold_034355_1BL